rnacentral:rRNA from 1 species
UACGAAGGGGGCUAGCGUUGUUCGGAAUUACUGGGCGUAAAGCGCGUGUAGGCGGGUCUUUAAGUCAGGGGUGAAAUGCCAAGGCUCAACCUUGGAACUGCCUUUGAUACUGGAGACCUUGAGUCCGGGAGAGGUGAGUGGAAUUGCGAGUGUAGAGGUGAAAUUCGUAGAUAUUCGCAAGAACACCAGUGGCGAAGGCGGCUCACUGGCCCGGUACUGACGCUGAGGUGCAAAAGCGUGGGGAGCAAACAGG